GCUCCCAUUUCCCCGCAGAAGGGAGCCAGGAGGGAAGAGAGAGAGAGAGAGAGAAGAGGGCUGCUGACCUGGUUUUCAUUUCUGCUCACUGACACUGUCCUGCCACUGCCACAUAAAGAAACAUGCCCCAGCCGGUCCCUAUGUUAUUGAAGUCUCAGAUCCAGGAGUUGGGGCUUAUCACAGUGGUGAACAGAGAAGCGGUAUGUAACUGUCCAGGCUGACAGAAUCAGGGUUCAAUAGGACCUCAGGCGGCCAGAUAAAACUGAGCAAAGAUCAGCGUAAAGUCCUGCACUGAGUUUGAAAGAGCAAAUCUGAAAGGAGAAGACAUGUCGAAACACCACGGACAUUUCAGUAGCUACGCUCAGGGCUGGCUAACUGGGAAAUGCCUGGGAACCAUCUGCAGCCUCAAACCACGGUCCAGAGCAGCCGGGACUGAGGGAGCUCACGGCCGGCCGCUCAAGGCAGGAGACUCCUGCGGCUCUCACCACCACAGCUGCUCGCUGGCAAACGGAAACACCCUCUGCGGACAUGCCCGAUCGUCCGUCAGUUACACGGUAGAAUGAGCAAGCUGCCAAAGGCCAAUGCCCAGGACAGGAAGGGUCUAGAAACUGCGGAGUAACAAUGGUUGGAAAAGACCUAGGGAGCUGCACGGCAGCAGUGGGAAGUCAAAGAGGUAAUGCCGGGACUGAAAACUCAGGAAGCGGCAACACAAACACGUCAU